AUCUCUUUUCAGGCAAGCACACGUCUACAUAAUUGCGGGGGCCUGCUUGUCUCUCGGUUUUCGAUUUGCUGGUUCAGAAAAUUUAUCAGCAUUUAAUUGUUUGCAUAAAUUUGCAAAUGAUUUUAUGACUUACUUGUCUGCACCUAAUGCUUCUGUAACAAGACCUUACAACCUAGAAACUUGCCUGAGUGUGGUGCUACUGUCUCUUUCCAUGGUAAUGGCUGGCUCUGGGAACCUAAAGGUUUUACAGCUUUGUUGCUACUUUCAUAUGAAGACAGGUGGUGAAAUGAACUAUGGCUUUCACUUAGCCCACCACAUGGCCCUUGGACUUCUCUUUUUGGGAGGAGGAAGGUAAUGAGUAUUGGAAUUUGUCAUUUUCCAGAAGAAGGCAUUGGAGCCCCUGUAAUUGAAUUACUGACAGUUUUUAGCUGCCAUGUGGGUGCUAGGAACUAAGCUUAGGUUCUUUGUAAGAGCAGCGUGAGCUCUGAACCACUGAGCCAUCUCUCCAGCCCUUAUAACUGCCCUUUUAAGUUAGUCUAUCAUUUUAAAUAAUCAUAUUUUAUAGAAACAGAAAAACAAUGUUUAAAACAGCUCAGUUUAAAAAAUCCUGCCGGGUGUGCAUUCCUGUAGUCCCAGCACUCAGGAGGCAGAGGCAGGUGGAUCUCUGUGAG